rnacentral:rRNA from 1 species
CACGGGGGGAGCAAGCGUUGUUCGGAAUCACUGGGCGUAAAGGGCGUGUAGGCGGUCAAGUAAGUGGAAUGUGAAAUGCCCCGGCUCACCCGGGGACCUGCAUCCCAAACUGCUUGGCUUGAGUAUGGGAGAGGAUGAGGGAAUUCCUGGUGUAGCGGUGAAAUGCGCAGAUAUCAGGAAGAACACCCGUGGCGAAGGCGGCUCUCUGGGACGGUACUGACGCUGAGACGCGAAAGCGUGGGGAGCGAACAGG